rnacentral:rRNA from 1 species
AGAGUUUGAUCAUGGCUCAGGAUGAACGCUAGCUACAGGCUUAACACAUGCAAGUCGAGGGGCAGCGGGAGAGUAGCUUGCUAUUCUUGCCGGCGACCGGCGCACGGGUGAGUAACGCGUAUCCAACCUACCCCAUACAAGAGGAUAGCCCGGCGAAAGUCGGAUUAAUACUCUAUGUAGUACGAUGAAGGCAUCUGAGUUGUAUGAAAGGUUUUUCCGGUAUGGGCUGGGGAUGCGUCUGAUUAGGUAGUAGGCGGGGUAACGGCCCACCUAGCCAUCGAUCAGUAGGGGUUCUGAGAGGAAGGUCCCCCACAUUGGAACUGAGACACGGUCCAAACUCCUACGGGAGGCAGCAGUGAGGAAUAUUGGUCAAUGGGCGAGAGCCUGAACCAGCCAAGUAGCGUGAAGGAUGACUGCCCUACGGGUUGUAAACUUCUUUUGUCCAGGAAUAAAAAAUCCCUCGUGAGGGGUCUUGCAGGUACUGGUUGAAUAAGGACCGGCUAAUUCCGUGCCAGCAGCCGCGGUAAUACGGAAGGUCCGAGCGUUAUCCGGAUUUAUUGGGUUUAAAGGGUGCGUAGGCGGGGAAGCAAGUCAGCCGUAAAAUUGUUGAGCUCAACUCAAUCCCGCGGUUGAAACUGCCUCCCUUGAGUACACUAGAGGGCGAUGGAAUUCGUGGUGUAGCGGUGAAAUGCAUAGAUAUCACGAAGAACUCCGAUUGCGUAGGCAGUCGCCUGGGGUGCCACUGACGCUGAGGCACGAAGGUGCGGGUAUCAAACAGGAUUAGAUACCCUGGUAGUCCGCACAGUAAACUAUGGAUGCUCGCGGUGCGCAAUUUGUUGUACGCCGCCAAGGGAAACCGUUAAGCAUCCCACCUGGGGAGUACGCCGGCAACGGUGAAACUCAAAGGAAUUGACGGGGGCCCGCACAAGCGGAGGAACAUGUGGUUUAAUUCGAUGAUACGCGAGGAACCUUACCCGGGCUUGAAAUGUACUCGACAGGACCCAGAGACGGGUCCCUCCUUCGGGCGAGUAUGUAGGUGCUGCAUGGUUGUCGUCAGCUCGUGCCGUGAGGUGUCGGCUUAAGUGCCAUAACGAGCGCAACCCUUCCCGCCGGUUACCAUCAUUCAGUUGGGGACUCCGGCGGCACUGCCAUCGCAAGAUGUGAGGAAGGCGGGGAUGACGUCAAAUCAGCACGGCCCUUACGUCCGGGGCCACACACGUGUUACAAUGGGGGGCACAGAGAGCUGGAUGCCGGCGACGGCAUUCGAAUCAUUAAAUCCCCUCCCAGUUCGGACUGGAGUCUGCAACCCGACUCCACGAAGCUGGAUUCGCUAGUAAUCGCGCAUCAGCCAUGGCGCGGUGAAUACGUUCCCGGGCCUUGUACACACCGCCCGUCAAGCCAUGAAAGUCGGGGGCGCCUGAAGCCCGUUGCCGCAAGGCGCGGUCUAGGGCGAUACCGGUAAUUGGGGCUAAGUCGUAACAAGGUAGCCGUA